CGGCGGACGGGUGAGUAACGCGUGGGUAACCUGCCUCAUACAGGGGGAUAACAGUUAGAAAUGACUGCUAAUACCGCAUAGGACCACAGCACCGCAUGGUGCGGGGUAAAAACUCCGGUGGUAUGAGAUGGACCCGCGUCUGAUUAGCUGGUUGGUAAGGUAACGGCUUACCAAGGCGACGAUCAGUAGCCGACCUGAGAGGGUGACCGGCCACAUUGGGACUGAGACACGGCCCAA
rnacentral:rRNA from 1 species